AGCGAACGCUGGCGGCAGGCCUAACACAUGCAAGUCGAACGAAGUCUUCGGACUUAGUGGCGGACGGGUGAGUAACACGUGGGAACGUGCCUUUAGGUUCGGAAUAACUCAGGGAAACUUGUGCUAAUACCGAAUGUGCCCUUCGGGGGAAAGAUUUAUCGCCUUUAGAGCGGCCCGCGUCUGAUUAGCUAGUUGGUGAGGUAAAGGCUCACCAAGGCGACGAUCAGUAGCUGGUCUGAGAGGAUGAUCAGCCACAUUGGGACUGAGACACGGCCCAAACUCCGACGGGAGGCAGCAGUGGGGAAUCUUGCGCAAUGGGCGAAAGCCUGACGCAGCCAUGCCGCGUGAAUGAUGAAGGUCUUAGGAUUGUAAAAUUCUUUCACCGGGUACGAUAAUGACGGUACCCGGAGAAGAAGCCCCGGCUAACUUCGUGCCAGCAGCCGCCGUAA
rnacentral:rRNA from 1 species